rnacentral:rRNA from 2 species
GGAUGCGAUGAUACCAGCACUAAAGCACCGGAUCCCAUCAAAACUCCGAAGUUAAGCGUGCUUGGGCGAGAGUAGUACAAGGAUGGGUGACCUCCUAGGAAGUCCUCGUGUUGCAUUCC